UUCUGCUACAUUAAAUAAAAUAUCUUGGAGGAACAUGAAGAAAAGGGCUGCGCACCUCAACAUAUUCAAGGUCAAGCAGCUUUUUACAAUAUCCAUAGUAUCUUGCUGCUAAAUGAAAGAAUUAGUGUGGAGGAGCAGAGAAAAGGGCACCUCAACAUGUUCAAGGUCAAGCAGAAAUUAGGAGCUAGGUGUGCUUCUCCAGAGCUGAAAAUUUCUUGGCAUGAAGAGAAGAAGAAGCAAGAAAAAGCAGUUUUAAAUAUUGAUUACGUCUUCAUAGUACAAAA